rnacentral:tRNA from 1 species
GCCUGGCUGGCUCAGUCAGUUGAGCGUCUGACUUUGGCUUGGGUCAUGAUCUCACAGUUUGUGAGUUCGAGCCCCACAUCAGGCU